CUCUUAACGGGGGAUCACUUGGCUCGUGGGUCG
rnacentral:rRNA from 1 species